AAGCUCGUAGUUGAAUUUCGGGGUUAGUAGGUUGGUCAUGCCUCUGGUAUGUACUGGUCUCACUGAUUCCUCCUUCCUGAUGAACCGUAAUGCCAUUAAUUUGGUGUUGCGGGGAAUUUGGACUGUUACUUUGAAAAAAUUGAGUGUUUAAAGCAAGCUAACGCUUGAAUACAUUAGCAUGGAAUAAUGAAAUAGGACGUUCGAUCCUAUUUUGUUGGUUUCUAGGAUUGACGUAAUGAUUAAUAGGGAUAGUUGGG
rnacentral:rRNA from 1 species